rnacentral:rRNA from 1 species
GAUGAACGCUGGCGGCGUGCUUAACACAUGCAAGUCGAACGAGAAAUGUAGACGGAAACCUUCGGGCGGACGCCUUCAUUUCGAGUGGCGGACGGGUGAGUAACGCGUGGGUAACCUGCCUCAUACAGGGGGAUAACAGUUGGAAACGACUGUUAAUACCGCAUAAGACCACAGCAUCGCAUGAUGCGGGGGUAAAAACUCCGGUGGUAUGAGAUGGACCCGCGUUCGAUUAGCCAGUUGGCGGGGUAACGGCCCACCAAAGCGACGAUCGAUAGCCGAUCUGAGAGGAUGACCGGCCACAUUGGGACUGAGACACGGCCCAAACUCCUACGGGAGGCAGCAGUGGGGAAUAUUGCACAAUGGGGGAAACCCUGAUGCAGCGACGCCGCGUGAGUGAAGAAGUACUUCGGUAUGUAAAGCUCUAUCAGCAGGGAAGAAAAUGACGGUACCUGAGGAAGAAGCCCCGGCUAACUACGUG